rnacentral:rRNA from 1 species
CAAUAGCGUAUAUUUAAGUUGUUGCAGUUAAAAAGCUCGUAGUUGGAUUUCGGGUGGGACGCAGCGGUCUCGCAUUGCGUUUGUACUGCUGCAGCCCUCCUUCUUGCCGGGGGCGGCCUCUCGGACUUCACUGUCUGGGGGUCAGAAUCGGCGAUGUUACUUUGAGUAAAUUAGAGUGUUCAAAGCAAGCUUACGCUCUGAAUAUAAUAGCAUGGGAUAACACGACAGGACUCUGGCCUAUCGUGUUGGUCUAUAGGACCAGAGUAAUGAUUAAGAGGGACAGUCGGGGGCAUUCGUAUUCCGUUGCCAGAGGUGAAAUUCUUGGAUUUACGGAAGACGAACAUCUGCGAAAGCAUUUGCCAAGGAUGUUUUCAUUGA